AGUGAACGCUGGCGGUAGGCCUAACACAUGCAAGUCGAACGGCAGCACAGUAAAAGCUUGCUCUUACGGGUGGCGAGUGGCGGACGGGUGAGGAAUACAUCGGAAUCUACUUUUUCGUGGGGGAUAACGUAGGGAAACUUACGCUAAUACCGCAUACGACCUACGGGUGAAAGCAGGGGAUCUUCGGACCUUGCGCGAUUGAAUGAGCCGAUGUCGGAUUAGCUAGUUGGCGGGGUAAAGGCCCACCAAGGCGACGAUCCGUAGCUGGUCUGAGAGGAUGAUCAGCCACACUGGAACUGAGACACGGUCCAGACUCCUGCGGGAGGCAGCAGUGGGGAAUAUUGGACAAUGGGCGCAAGCCUGAUCCAGCCAUGCCGCGUGGGUGAAGAAGGCCUUCGGGUUGUAAAGCCCUUUGUUGGGAAAGAAAAGCAGCAGGUUAAUACCCCGCUGUUCUGACGGUACCCAAAGAAUAAGCACCGGCUAACUUCGUG
rnacentral:rRNA from 1 species